rnacentral:rRNA from 1 species
GUGAGGAAUAUUGCGCAAUGGAGGCAACUCUGACGCAGCCAUGCCGCGUGCAGGAAGAAGGCGCUACGCGUUGUAAACUGCUUUUAACCGGGAAGAAACCCCAGGACGUGUCCUGGGUUGACGGUACCGGAGGAAUAAGCACCGGCUAACUUCGUGCCAGCAGCCGCGGUAAUACGAAGGGUGCAAGCGUUAUCCGGAUUCAUUGGGUUUAAAGGGUGUGUAGGCGGAGCGUUAAGUCAGUGGUGAAAUCCUGCAGCUUAACUGUAGAGUUGCCAUGGAUACUGGCGCUCUUGAGUGCGCUUGAAGUGGGCGGAAUGUGCCGUGUAGCGGUGAAAUGCUUAGAUAUGGCACAGAACACCAAUUGCGAAGGCAGCUCACUAAGGCGAUACUGACGCUGAGGCACGAAAGCGUGGGGAUCGAACAGGAUUAGAAACCCCAGUAGUCC